rnacentral:misc_RNA from 1 species
GGAAGUCACUGUAUGGAACUGCAAAAUGCUUGACCUAGCUAUUAGAGGAGUCCACAUAUGAAAUCUACUAAUCUGACUAUAAAUCUUACUCCAAAGCGAAGAAAUAACAACAACAAUAGCAUUCAUGCAUUUUUACUAUAUCUGCACACGUGAAAUCAUUUUUGUAGAGGUUAUUUUUCAAUCCAUAGACCUUCUAUGAAUAAUAAUAAAAGAACCAGCCAGAGUGUUGAUUUAAUCUC